UCCUACUCCUCCUAUUGCUCGUUAUACGCUCCGUUGUGCUCCGGCGAAUGGGUGUGGGAAUCGGUGUUCCGAUCUGCAUUGAAUGUGGGACCCACAGCAAUCCGUGCAGAUGCAAGGUGGUGGGCCGACCCUGGGGUUUUUGGCUUUCGCUGUGGCGGCGGUGGUGGAGUGGCCGGUGGGACUCUGGUUUUUGCUUCCGCCAUCACAAGGGGCGCCGUAUCAUGGCGCAUCCGGCUACCGUCGUAUACCCGUCGGUGUCUAAUGCGGUUCCGAUUUGAGAUAAUACGCAAGAAUGCUGUUCCUUUACAUGCUUUUUUUCCCCAAGUCCAAUAAUGUAUAUUAAUAAUGGAUCUCAAUUUAAGAGUAAAAUUAAUAGGCUAAAUAUACC